CCUGAUGCAGCGACGCCGCGUGAGGGAUGACGGCCUUCGGGUUGUAAACCUCUUUCAGUAGGGAAGAAGCGAAAGUGACGGUACCUGCAGAAGAAGCACCGGCUAACUACGUGCCAGCAGCCGCGGUAAUACGUAGGGUGCGAGCGUUAUCCGGAAUUAUUGGGCGUAAAGAGCUCGUAGGCGGUUUGUCGCGUCUGUCGUGAAAGUCCGGGGCUUAACCCCGGAUCUGCGGUGGGUACGGGCAGACUAGAGUGCAGUAGGGGAGACUGGAAUUCCUGGUGUAGCGGUGGAAUGCGCAGAUAUCAGGAGGAACACCGAUGGCGAAGGCAGGUCUCUGGGCUGUAACUGACGCUGAGGAGCGAAAGCAUGGGGAGCGAACAGGAUUAGAUACCCUGGUAGUCCAUGCCGUAAACGUUGGGCACUAGGUGUGGGGACCAUUCCACGGUUUCCGCGCCGCAGCUAACGCAUUAAGUGCCCCGCCUGGGGAGUACGGCCGCAAGGCUAAAACUCAAAGGAAUUGACGGGGGCCCGCACAAGCGGCGGAGCAUGCGGAUUAAUUCGAUGCAACGCGAAGAACCUUACCAAGGCUUGACAUGUUCUCGAUCGCCGUAGAGAUACGGUUUCCCCUUUGGGGCGGGUUCACAGGUGGUGCAUGGUUGUCGUCAGCUCGUGUCGUGAGAUGUUGGGUUAAGUCCCGCAACGAGCGCAACCCUCGUUCCAUGUUGCCA
rnacentral:rRNA from 1 species